ACUCUAAGCGGUGGAUCACUCGGCUCAUGGGUCGAUGAAGAACGCAGCAAACUGUGCGUCAUCGUGUGAACUGCAGGACACAUGAACAUCGACAUUUUGAACGCAUAUCGCAGUCCAUGCUGUUAUGUACUUUAAUUAAUUUUAUAGUGCUGCUUGGACUACAUAUGGUUGAGGGUUGUAAGACUAUGCUAAUUAAGUUGCUUAUAAAUUUUUAUAAGCAUAUGGUAUAUUAUUGGAUAAAUAUAAUAAUUUUUAUUCAUAAUAUUAAAAAAUAAAUGAAAAACAUUAUCUCACAUUUGAAUGUGAAAAACGAAGAGAAAUAUUUUCUUUUUCAAUCAAAUAAUACUGAGAAAUGUCUAGCAUAAAAAAUUGAAAUAUUUUUCAUCUAGAAUUGUCUCUUAUUAAUGAUUCGGAAAUAGAAAAAUCUUGGUUAUGUUAUUAUUCUUCGUUGGUUCGUUAAAAAUGGAUAAAUAAAAACUUUGCAUACAAGAAUUAAUAAAAAUGUUAUAACGAAUUUAAUUAAAUGUUUUAUCAUUAUAUAUAAAGAAUUUAUGGCAAGAUAAAGUUAUAUACAACCUCAACUCAUAUGGGACUACCCCCUGAAUUUAAGCAUAUUAAUUAGGGGAGGAAAAGAAACUAACAAGGAUUUUCUUAGUAGCGGCGAGCGAAAAGAAAACAGUUCAGCACUAAGUCACUUUGUCUAUAUGGCAAAUGUGAGAUGCAGUGUAUGGAGCGUCAAUAUUCUAGUAUGAGAAAUUAACGAUUUAAGUCCUUCUUAAAUGAGGCCAUUUACCCAUAGAGGGUGCCAGGCCCGUAUAACGUUAAUGAUUACUAGAUGAUGUUUCCAAAGAGUCGUGUUGCUUGAUAGUGCAGCACUAAGUGGGUGGUAAACUCCAUCUAAAACUAAAUAUAACCAUGAGACCGAUAGUAAACAAGUACCGUGAGGGAAAGUUGAAAAGAACUCUGAAUAGAGAGUUAAACAGUACGUGAAACUGCUUAGAGGUUAAGCCCGAUGAACCUGAAUAUCCGUUAUGGAAAAUUCAUCAUUAAAAUUGUAAUAUUUAAAUAAUAUUAUGAGAAUAGUGUGCAUUUUUUCCAUAUAAGGACAUUGUAAUCUAUUAGCAUAUACCAAAUUUAUCAUAAAAUAUAACUUAUAGUUUAUUCCAAUUAAAUUGCUUGCAUUUUAACACAGAAUAAAUGUUAUUAAUUUGAUAAAGUGCUGAUAGAUUUAUAUGAUUACAGUGCGUUAAUUUUUCGGAAUUAUAUAAUGGCAUAAUUAUCAUUGAUUUUUGUGUUUAUUAUAUGCACUUGUAUGAUUAACAAUGCGAAAGAUUCAGGAUACCUUCGGGACCCGUCUUGAAACACGGACCAAGGAGUCUAACAUAUGUGCAAGUUAUUGGGAUAUAAACCUAAUAGCGUAAUUAACUUGACUAAUAAUGGGAUUAGUUUUUUAGCUAUUUAUAGCUAAUUAACACAAUCCCGGGGCGUUCUAUAUAGUUAUGUAUAAUGUAUAUUUAUAUUAUUUAUGCCUCUAACUGGAACGUACCUUGAGCAUAUAUGCUGUGACCCGAAAGAUGGUGAACUAUACUUGAUCAGGUUGAAGUCAGGGGAAACCCUGAUGGAAGACCGAAACAGUUCUGACGUGCAAAUCGAUUGUCAGAAUUGAGUAUAGGGGCGAAAGACCAAUCGAACCAUCUAGUAGCUGGUUCCUUCCGAAGUUUCCCUCAGGAUAGCUGGUGCAUUUUAAUAUUAUAUAAAAUAAUCUUAUCUGGUAAAGCGAAUGAUUAGAGGCCUUAGGGUCGAAACGAUCUUAACCUAUUCUCAAACUUUAAAUGGGUAAGAACCUUAACUUUCUUGAUAUGAAGUUCAAGGUUAUGAUAUAAUGUGCCCAGUGGGCCACUUUUGGUAAGCAGAACUGGCGCUGUGGGAUGAACCAAACGUAAUGUUACGGUGCCCAAAUUAACAACUCAUGCAGAUACCAUGAAAGGCGUUGGUUGCUUAAAACAGCAGGACGGUGAUCAUGGAAGUCGAAAUCCGCUAAGGAGUGUGUAACAACUCACCUGCCGAAGCAACUAGCCCUUAAAAUGGAUGGCGCUUAAGUUGUAUACCUAUACAUUACCGCUAAAGUAGAUGAUUUAUAUUACUUGUGAUAUAAAUUUUGAAACUUUAGUGAGUAGGAAGGUACAAUGGUAUGCGUAGAAGUGUUUGGCGUAAGCCUGCAUGGAGCUGCCAUUGGUACAGAUCUUGGUGGUAGUAGCAAAUAAUCGAAUGAGACCUUGGAGGACUGAAGUGGAGAAGGGUUUCGUGUGAACAGUGGUUGAUCACGAGUUAGUCGGUCCUAAGUUCAAGGCGAAAGCCGAAAAUUUUCAAGUAAAACAAAAAUGCCUAACUAUAUAAACAAAGCGAAUUAUAAUACACUUGAAUAAUUUUGAACGAAAGGGAAUACGGUUCCAAUUCCGUAACCUGUUGAGUAUCCGUUUGUUAUUAAAUAUGGGCCUCGUGCUCAUCCUGGCAACAGGAACGACCAUAAAGAAGCCGUCGAGAGAUAUCGGAAGAGUUUUCUUUUCUGUUUUAUAGCCGUACUACCAUGGAAGUCUUUCGCAGAGAGAUAUGGUAGAUGGGCUAGAAGAGCAUGACAUAUACUGUUGUGUCGAUAUUUUCUCCUCGGACCUUGAAAAUUUAUGGUGGGGACACGCAAACUUCUCAACAGGCCGUACCAAUAUCCGCAGCUGGUCUCCAAGGUGAAGAGUCUCUAGUCGAUAGAAUAAUGUAGGUAAGGGAAGUCGGCAAAUUAGAUCCGUAACUUCGGGAUAAGGAUUGGCUCUGAAGAUUGAGAUAGUCGGGCUUGAUUGGGAAACAAUAACAUGGUUUAUGUGCUCGUUCUGGGUAAAUAGAGUUUCUAGCAUUUAUGUUAGUUACUUGUUCCCCGGAUAGUUUAGUUACGUAGCCAAUUGUGGAACUUUCUUGCUAAAAUUUUUAAGAAUACUAUUUGGGUUAAACCAAUUAGUUCUUAUUAAUUAUAACGAUUAUCAAUUAACAAUCAAUUCAGAACUGGCACGGACUUGGGGAAUCCGACUGUCUAAUUAAAACAAAGCAUUGUGAUGGCCCUAGCGGGUGUUGACACAAUGUGAUUUCUGCCCAGUGCUCUGAAUGUCAAAGUGAAGAAAUUCAAGUAAGCGCGGGUCAACGGCGGGAGUAACUAUGACUCUCUUAAGGUAGCCAAAUGCCUCGUCAUCUAAUUAGUGACGCGCAUGAAUGGAUUAACGAGAUUCCUACUGUCCCUAUCUACUAUCUAGCGAAACCACAGCCAAGGGAACGGGCUUGGAAUAAUUAGCGGGGAAAGAAGACCCUUUUGAGCUUGACUCUAAUCUGGCAGUGUAAGGAGACAUAAGAGGUGUAGAAUAAGUGGGAGAUAUUAGACCUCGGUUUGGUAUCGUCAAUGAAAUACCACUACUCUUAUUGUUUCCUUACUUACUUGAUUAAAUGGAACGUGUAUCAUUUCCUAGCCAUUAUACGGAUAUAUUUAUUAUAUCUUAUGGUAUUGGGUUUUGAUGCAAGCUUCUUGAUCAAAGUAUCACGAGUUUGUUAUAUAAUCGCAAACAAAUUCUUUAAUAAAACGAUGCAUUUAUGUAUU
rnacentral:rRNA from 1 species